rnacentral:lncRNA from 1 species
CUGAGAUUCUCACCCAGAGUCUGUAUAGCUUGUCCUUCAGAAGGUCAAGUUCUGACGUGGUGACGAUGUCAACCCCAAAGUAUGGAGACCACCCACAGGGCCUUCUUUGAGCAGUGGGAUCAAAUUCUUAUGUGUCUCUCUAGAGACAAUCAGCACUGGAUCAUCUGUAAACAGCAGUGGACACAAGAUCUGGGCUCUGUCCAGCCUAAGGUACUGUGUGGCCCAAGGUAGGGUACCUGACCCCCAAACGUCUUAUCUGUAUGAUAGGUGACUUAGAAAUCUGUGAAUGUCCUUAGAACCAUCAGUGUUCUCCUGGAGAUGGCUAACUUAAGCAUAAAGCAA